rnacentral:rRNA from 1 species
AAGUUUGAUCCUGGCUCAGGACGAACGCUGGCGGCGUGCCUAACACAUGCAAGUGGAGCGACGAACCAGGGCUUGCCCUGGGGCAGAGCCGCGAACGGGUGAGUAACACGUGGGUCACCUGCCUUGAUGACCGGGACAACCCGAGGAAACUCGGGCUAAUACCGGAUGUGCCCGCAAGGGGAAAGGAAGCUUUGGCCUCC